GAUGAAGAACGUAGCGAAAUGCGAUAAGUAGUGUGAAUUGCAGAAUUCUGUGAAUCAUCGAAUCUUUGAACGCACAUUGCGCCCUUUGGUAUUCCUUAGGGCAUGCCUGUUCGAGCGUCAUUUAAACCUUCAAGCUCAGCUUGGUGUUGGGUGACUGUCCGCCGCCUCCGGGCGGUCGGACUCGCCUCAAAUCGAUUGGCGGCCGGUACUUUGGCUUCGAGCGCAGCAGAAACGCGAACUCGAGGCCGUCGUCCUGGCUCCCAGAAGCUAUCUUCACAAUUUUGACCUCGGAUCAGGUAGGGAUACCCGCUGAACUUAAGCAUAUCAAUAAGCGGAGGA
rnacentral:misc_RNA from 1 species